UUCAGAUCUAAAGAGAAAAUAAGUUUCUCUUUAGGAACAUUCAAAUAUACAGACUUAAAAACUGCAAACCAGGUAAGGCGCGGUGGCUCAUGCCUGUAAUCACAGCACUUUGGGAGGCCAAGGCGGGUGGAUCACUUGAGGUCAGGAGUUCAAGAUCAGUCUGACCAACGUAGUGAAACCCUGUCUCUACUAAAAAUACAAAAAAAUUAGCCAGGCAUAGUGGCACGCACGCCUGUAAUCCCAGCUACUUGGGAGGCUGAGGCAGGAGAAUCGCUUGAAUCUGGGAGGCAGAGGUUGCAGUAAGCCAAGAUCUUGCCAUUGCACUCCAGCCUGGGCAACAAGAGCAAAACUCCGUCUCAAAAAAAAAAAAAAAAAAACCCUGCGAACUACAGAGGAUACAUUUCAUAAGGAUGCCUGGAGAAAGCGGAGAGGAAAUUCUUGGGCUAACAGACAUUCCCAUUUGACAUGAGCAGGUACCUGAAGAGUCACUGGUGACCACAGAGGCAUUGGAGGGGCUGAGUGAGGGAUGGGUGACUUUGCAGUGGAAGGAAGCCUGUCUCAAUCAGGUAGAAAAGAAAGCUUGUAGAACAUAAAAUUUAUCUUUAUAGGGAAGAACUUUAUAGGGAUGAUAACUUUUUGUUUUCCUUAGGAAACAGCCCACUAUAUUUUUGUCUGCGAUAAAAACUUAAAAUGUAAAUAAUAUGCCUCAAGGGGACCUCUACCCCUAAUUUCCAACUUGAUCAAGUGCGUGGUUUGGAAAGGCCUUUAUAUCUAACAUUAUCAGAAUCCCCCUGCUGAAUUCAAGUCAAAGGACCAAAAACGGACAUGAGAAUUGCCAAUGAAACCCUUCCAUUAAUGAAUACAUUUUUACAUAUUGCCUAAAUUCUCACUAUAUUUGUUAUAACAUAAACUGUUUUAUACCAACUAGACAAAACACUAAGUUAUUGUAUAUGGUUUUAAUUUCCUGGAUCCAGGAAUCUUCCAGUUUAAUCAAAUUCGACAUGGACUCAUUUAGUGACUACUCAAGUGUUUACGUGUUCUUCAACAGAUCUGUCUCAGAGACCUUAAAACAAUAUAGUACAUUUGAUUGUUUCAGUUGUUAAAAGAUAUUUACAAAAACAUAUUUUACUUCAACAUGUAUGCAAAGGUAACCUAACAGCUACUACACUAUCAUUAAAUAUCUUUGCUUUACAGUGUACAUUCCUGAAUGAGAUAAGCAGUUCUGUAAAUGACCUAUCAAACUAUAACGUAGAAUAUACAUACUUUCCGGUAGGCCGUAUAUUUGAUAACUGAUAACAUCAGAAGUAAAAGUUUCACAGCAUUAGUGAAUAAUAAUCCCUCUCUGUGGCUCAGUUCCUUUUUAUUUUAAUUGGUACUAAUGAAGUUUUGAAUCUGAAUCUAUUUCUAUGACUGACAAAAGUUCUCUUCAUUUGAUUUCCCCCCUAUCUGUUUCUUUACUGGCCUCAAAUUACAGAUUAAAGUAAAGCACUUGGAUUAGCUGUGCAGAUGUCUCUGGAUAGAAGUAUGACAACUUCAUUCUCAAUUAUCCAGCAAUUAUUUUUAAAAGACUAUUAAGUACUUUACAAAUAAAGUAUGAAUGGCAACAAGAAAGAAUUCAACCAAUGUGGUUUCCCUCUGAAAGAGUGAAAAGGUUGUAUAAAAGAAAUAAUGAACUGCCACACUGGAUAGGAAAAAAAACAAAUCCUAAGAAUAAUCAUGCUUCCUAACCAUAGUGACUUAGUGAAUGGUAAGAAGCACUUUGUUUGUUGAACGCUCCACAGGGUUACACUCAGAGCAUGAAUGCUGUGCAUGUGUUCUAGCUCCCUGUUUUCACUGAUGAGUUACUUAAGGCCUGAUUCUCAUCCACCUCUGUAGGACUCUCUGAUGUCGAACUCUCUCUUGACCAGGAAGGAGAAGGCCUAAUGCAGGAGGGAGCGGGUAACAGAACACUGGGCUUUGCGAACAAACCCACACACCUUUGGAAGUACACUGGCCAGCACUUCUAAAGCACUGUUGAGGAAAGGAGAUAAUAGUAGACACCCUUGUCUUGUUCCUGAUCUGAAAAGGAGACAGGGGAAGCCACUGGUAGCUGAUGAGCUCCACACAGCAGUCUAAUGUCAGCCUCUUCAAAUUUACCUGCCCCAAACUUCCCUUAUGCACCACCAGCUGGUGUAAACAUGCUCUACUUAUAGCAAAGAAAACCAGAGGAAAUUUUCCAAUUCAAUGUGGUUUCUAAAGCGGUACAAGCUAGGAGAGGAAGAUGCUAAUCCUAGGCAUAGAGACAAUUCUCUCCAGGUAAAAACAAUGAAUUUCAAGCUUCUGAAUCAUUUCACUGCACUAAUGCACUGGUGAACACAAAAAAGUCCAUUUAAUGAUGAGAACUACUUAUUCAUAAGGUUGUACCUGGAUGGAUAAUUUCCAAGUUGCAACAUCAGUGAAAAACAAUUUAUCAAUGCAGUGAUGGAUCCAACAAAACUGAAAAAAAAAAAACCACUUAACUACAAGUCACAGCCACUGAUAAGUAAAGAAACUGAUUAUUUUGAGAUCCUAAUGGCCAUUUAAAAUAAAGAUUUUUUUUUUUUAAGUCAUGUUCAGUUAAAAAAAAAAAAAAGGCUCAAAAAGAAAACUACUUAGUAGCAGAACUUAAUGCUGGGAGAAAGAAAAGUCACACAGUGGGCAAGGAUCUCAUAAUGCCUGCAUAUGAAAUUACAUUUUCUUGGGCAAGAUAUAGUAUAAGAAAUUUAAAAGGCUCCACACCCAAGCAGCACAAUAAGUGGACACAGAGAUGACUUUUCAUAUCCUAAGAGGUUUUGUGACAAAUUGCCAAAAAAAAUUUAAAAAAAACCUUCUCACUGAGUCUACAAAUUUUACCAAUAAAUGACAUGCUAUAGCAUUUGUAGGUUAUAAAUAACGGUGAAAUCAAGAAAACUUUUUCUGCUGUGAAGGCCCAAACAAGCAAAGGCCAAGCCGGACGGAAUGCCCUGUCCUCAUGGGCACCUCUGAAAAAAACGCCCUGCCAUGUGUGCUGUGGGGUCCAACAACAGAAACUCCGGCACUGUCACGCUCAUGACUUUCUUCACCGAGGCGCUGCGGUCAAAAUUCUCACCAAUACAUUAAAAAAAGAGGUUGUAGGCAUCACAGAAAUGGCUGCGUUUGUUCAACAAAGACCAGUUCAUUGAAGAAUGUUUUGAAAACUGGCUGGACAUGGUGGCUCUGUUAAGUCACAAUUCUUGAGUGAACUGAAAAGGUGUUUGAGAUCAGCCUGGCCAACAUGAAAGACCAGUUCAUUGAAGAAUGUUUUGAAAACUGGCUGGACAUGGUGGCUCUGUUAAGUCACAAUUCUUGAGUGAACUGAAAAGGUGUUUGAGAUCAGCCUGGCCAACAUGGUGAAACUCUGUCUCUACUAAAAAUACGAAAAUCAGCUGGCGUGGUGGUGCAUGCCUGUAAUCGAAGCUACUCAGGAGGCUGAGGCAGGAGAAUUGCUUAAACCCAGGAGGCAGAAGUUGCAGUGAGCUGAAAUUGUGCCACUGCACUCCAGCCUGGGCAACAGGGCGAGACUCCAUCUCAAAAAAAAAAGGAAAUAAAAAAGAGAAUGUUUUGAAAACUGUACAAGUGUCUAAUCUGGCAACAGGGCAGGCUCUCAGAAGAGUGUGUUACAGCCACUGCCACCCUGGGGAGGAGAAGGUGACUGUGCAAGCAAGUCUUCGCUGUCCAAGCUGGCCAUGUGAAUCCCCAGACGACCACCAAGGUGCCCAGCCGUCAGUACCACUCUCCCUCCUACAGCUGGUACAGAGAAGAGCUGAGGAGCAUCUGUGGGUCCUCACUUACAACUUCUCUGUUCCAAGAGAAAGCUAAUAAAAAUGGACAUCCUAGCAAGGAAUAGGAUCUUCUCACACUGACUAGUUCUCUGUGUGGCUAAAGACACUCUGGACAAUGGAGAUUAUGGAGAAUUGGACUAUGAAUGGAUCAGGAGUCUGGGCUUACGUGGAAGGAACUUGAAGUCAGUGAAAUCCUUUAAGACCCUGUCUUCACAUUGAGACUAGGAAGGCUGUUAUUUUCUUUUUUGUCUUAUUAUUUCUGCUUUAAAAAAAAUUGCUAUUGUUUACAUCACACACAACAAAAGGAAAAUUCUUCUCGGGCCGGCCGGAGGGAAGUCGGCGUAGGCGGCGGCCCAGCCCGGCUGGAGGGAAGCUGGUGUAGGCGGCAGCGGCCCUGGCCGGGUCUGGCCAGAGGGAAGUAAGCGGACGCAUCCUCAGAGCGAGUUUCUUUGGAGAAGCCCUUGUGGCUUCAACGUGAUGGUGGAGGAUGACACAGGUCUCUGCGGCUUUUCUGGCUUUGCCCGCCCAGCUGCUCCAUGCCACGAGAAGGAAGAGCUAUCUGCUGCAUGCUGGAGGCUGGAGCCUGUGGCACCACGGCUCACCUCGCUGCAGUGGGUGGCAACGACGGAGACUGCAGAGCACCGGAGAGGAUGCGGCCCCAGGAUGCUGCAGGAGACAGGAGGCACAAGCUGCAGCCAGGAGCAGAUCUCUGCCCCUUUGUCUGAAGAGCCAAAAACCACCAAGUCCUUGCAGGUAUUCUCUGGGCCAGUGGGGAAUUGGGGUGCCUUGCCGUAUUACUGCCAGGCUUUCCGGGAUGCCGCAGAUGCGCAAAGAGCCGUGCCCAGCAAGCGGGCGGCCCAGCAAGUGUCAAGACCCUUCGGGAACCACACUUUGUCACUUCCCCUCCCCGGACUGCUUCAGGCAGGGAUCACAGACACCUGAAUUGUCCAGCGCCCCCUCCUUUUUCCCUCACUGCAACUCCAGCUCCAAUUUGCCAAUAUAGGUUUCUAAACUAGCCCUGGUACCCCCACCCACCCACCCACAGCCCCGAGCCUCCAUGCUCACAAGGGCUCUACCGGCAGGCAGCCGGUACAGCCCUGCAGGCGGACACAGACGCUGAGGAUGCCCGGGCUACCUCCAAACAUUGACAAACCUCAGUGAGGCUGGGGCCCCAUCUGGAACCAGCCCUCCCAAGACUCUGCGUGGGGGGGCGGUGCGGCAGGCGGCCCCGAGGUGCGCGGAGAGGAGGGAAGUCGCUGGGUGGGUGAGUGCCUCGGCGGCAAAGCCAAGCCUGUAGGUAACUCAGCCGCAGCUGAAGCCUUCCUCCUCCUCCUCGCUCGCCGGCCUCAUCUGGGGCGCCCAUAUGCUCUCAGGGGCUCGGCUGCACCUGCCCCGCAGCCGCCCCUGCAGCCCCUUGCCCGCAGUGUGGCCUCCGGCCUGGCCGGGGUCACGGGGCCUGGGACCCCGUCCCCUCCGCUGCCCCCGUCGGCAGUGCCAGGGUUUGCUCCACUGCCGACUUGGACACCUCCGGCCUAGCGGUGGCUCCUCGGUGGUGUGGAGGCGGCUGCGGCUCCUGCUCCCAGGCCCCAGGCGCCCAGCGGUGCCAGACGUCAGACCCGCGGACCCGGGAAGCAGGGCCCAGGCCGGGGCUGAGGCGGGCACAGUGCUGCCAGGCUCCAGGGCUCCCACUCCUCCUCCCCGGUGCCACCGCCAGCCGGGCCAGGUCCUAAAGCGGCGCGUCUCAAGAGUGUGGUGCGCCUGGCGGCCGAGUCACUGCUGCUGUUGGGGCUGCUGCUACUCACACUGCACGCCACUGUGCUGCGCGGCUCGGGAGCAGCCGACUCGGCGGCAGGCAACGCAAGCAGAGCUCAGCUGCAGAAUAACCUCAACGUGGGAAGUGACGCCACAUUGGAAACCAGCUUUUCUCUCUCCAAAGAAGCAUCAGGGGAGCAUUUGGACCACCAGGCUGCACACCAGCCCUUCCCCAGACCGCGAUUCCGACAAGAGACGGCACCGUUCGGUGUAAAGCGAUGGCCCCAGAUCCUUUCUCUUCGAUCUACCAAACUUUCCGGUUCUUUCCAAAGCUGAUAUUAAUGGGCAGAAUCCAAAUAUCCAGGCAAUUCUUGGUAGCUGAAAGGUGGACGAUAACAAAACAGUCCAUCUUUUGCUUUGUGAUGAUUCCAGUGGAAACUGCUGCCUUACCUCACUUUUCUUCUUAACCCCUUAAUGAUUCCUCCUUACGAUCAUGUUAUCUCCAUAUGAACAGUGCUGCAUUUCAUUAAGUGACACCCUUGAUUGUGAGAUGCACCAUUAUUUUAUGAACCACUCAAAAGAAGAAAACACUACUAAUUAAAGUAUGACACACCAAAAAAGAAAAAAAGAUAAACUUUACUCUGUCAUUUUAAAACGCUACUGGAUUUUUUUUUUUCUUUGCUAAUAUUUUGCUGUCAUUGCAUCUAUGUUCAUGAGAAUGUUGUCCUAUAAUGUUAAUUAUUAUACAGUCCUUGUCAACUUUUGGUUUUAAAAUGUUGUUUGUUUUAUUAAAUGCAUAGAGGAUUUUAUUCUACAGUGAUUCAGGGGUUUGUGAGAUACUCAAGCUUAUUCCUUGGAUCUUUGGGAGAAGUAUUUUUAAAACCAAGGCUUCUACACAUGUGCAAGUUUCUUUGUAAUAUUUGUCUAGGAGACUUGUUGAGGAUUAAUUGCAAUGGAAGUAUUUUUUUAUUUCUGGAAGUUCUGUUGAUCAUUUUUUGUACGUAUGAUUCAUUUUUAACAAGAUUUUGUUCUUAUAUUUUAGAUUCAUAUAUUUAUAUCUUUAUUUAUUUGAAACAUACUUAUUUUAGAAUUUUGAUAAUGAGUACUUUAUUUUCUGCUUUGAAAAUAUAAACCUGCUAUCUCUCAAAAACAAAACAAAACAAAGCAAAUUAAAUGUCAUGAACAAGGAGUACAUAAUUUUUUAUCCACACUUUUAGGACAGAGUUCAAUCAGGUGUCUAAAAUGCAAACUCAACAGAUAAUAUAUACAUAUGAUAAAAUAUACACCUAUGAUAAUAUAGGCAUUGCUAGUUGUCACUGUUUUUAAUUCAUCAUACUUAUAAUUAAAUUUGCAUAUCUGGUACAUAUCUGAUUUUCUCUGUCAUCCAAAUAUUUUUUGAGCACGUAUUUCUUUGUGCUGCCAAAAUAUAAUAAAAAAGAUAUACUUGAUAAUGCUUUGCAUUAUUUUGGGAUAAUUUUUAACAGGAUUUAACAUAAUGAUACUGCUUAAACUGGCUGCAAUACUUGGUAGAUGGUAGCUAACAAAUGAAAUGUGUCUUGAAAACCUGGCAAUAGAAAAUCUUUGCAGUUUGCAUUGCACACAGAUAACAGGUCACGGUGAUACCACUGAUUUGCUUGAAUUGAAUUACAUCUGGAGGUAGAAAUGGCUGUAAAAUAUUAAAAUGCAUAUACAAUUUAUUUUAGCUGUCAAUUAUUAGCAGUUGAGGAUUAAUGGGUUCCUCCAAGCUUUUAAAAGAAAGACUUGGAAAUUGUAAGUUUGGCCAGGCAAGGUGGCUCACGCCUGUAAUCCCAGCACUUUGGGAGGCUGAGGUGAGAGGAUCAUGAGGUCAGGAGAUCGAGACCAUCCUGGCCAAUAUGGUGAAACCCCUCUCUAGUAAAAAUACAAAAAAAUUAGCUGGGCAAGGUGGUGCAUGCCUAUAGUCCCAGCUACUUGGGAGGCUGAGGCAGGAGAAUUGCUUGAAACCAGGAGGUGAAGAUUACAGUGAGCUGAGAUCACGCCACUGUACUACAGCCUGGGUGACAGUGUGAGACUCCAUCUCAAAAAAAAAAAAGUUUUGAAAUUAUUUUUAAAGUUUGAAAAAUCUCAGGGGCCAUUAUCAUCAAAAUAAUAUUAUAUGUAGGUCUGCUGACUGAAUGAAAACUUUACCUGUUAAAGUUGUUUGUAAACAUAACCAUACACUUCGAUGGUAUUAACUGUUUGGCCCCUAAACAUGUUCUGGAUUUCCAUAAAAAAAGAAUGCCUGAUAUUCACAGGAAAGCAAUAAACAUUUGCUGCAGUUUUUGACUUUCUCACACGUAUGUGAGCAAGAAAAGAAAUUACUUCAUUUCAGCUGAAAAUAAAAUCCAUGUUUUCUUAUCUUUCAAGUUCAACUCAGAAUUGAAUAGUUACGUGGCAAAAAACCAAUAUAGGUUUGACAUUAGAUAGGUAAAUUUCAUUCUUCGAGUUUCAAAAAUAAUAUUUUAUGCAUACAUAAGCCUAUGUAAGAGAUGAAGAAUAAGCACAUAUGUACAAUAAUUCUGAAACUGCUAGGACUAUUUGAGCUUGCAUCGUGUUAGUAAGAAAGUGUUUUUAAAAGUCUGCAUAAAGUUGUGUCUUGGCUAUUUUUAAAUUUAUAUUGCUUUGGUUUAUCAUUUUAGUAGCUUUACUAUUCAAGACUAUCA